UUGUUCAAAUCAGCAAAAGACAUGGUUUCGAUCAUUUCAGUUACCUGGAUUAUAUUAUUCUACAUUGUGGUGACGGAGGGUCAAAUCACAAUGACUCAGACUCUAGACAUUGUCUCGGUGUCUCCUGGACAAGAUGUCAAUCUCCAGUGCAGUGCAAGUCAGGACAUUGGCUGGGGCUUAUCCUGGUACCAGCUCCAGCCUGGACACAGUCCCAAACUGCUGAUUAAAGCUGGGAAUGAGAGAUUCGAUGGGGUUCCAACUCGUUUCAGUGGCAGCAGAUCUGGAACUGUCUUCACCUUCAAAAUCACUGGAGUCCAGGCUGAAGAUGGAGGAGAUUACUAUUGCCUUGGUUAUAAAAGCAAUCAGUUCACUUUUGGGCAAGGCACCAAGGUGGUUGUUAAAACCGGCGCCAGCGUGAAGCCCACUGUGUCGCUGUUCCCCCCGUCCCCCAAUGAGCUGUCCGCCGGCUCGGCCACGCUGCUCUGCCUGCUCAGCGGCUACUUCCCUGAGGGGGCCAGCAUGGAGUGGACGGUGGACGGCUCCAAAGUGACCAGCGGGGUCCUGACCAGCGCCGAGGAGGGGAGGGACGGGAAGUUCAGCCGCAGCAGCUCCCUGAAGCUAAGCAAGGCCGAGUGGGAGGCCAAGGAGGAGUACGUGUGCACGGUGACCCACGACAACUCGCCGGCCUCCUACAGUGUCCGCAGGAGUCAGUGCGCAGGCGCCGCGGCGUGACGCACCAGACGGCCCUGUCCAUCCUUCGCCUGACUGGAGCUCGGGCCCCCCCUGUGGAGCUUGAGGAGAAGAGGGGUAGAGAACCCUCUACUCAGCCCCUGUAUGUCUGCAGCUCCUGUCCCUCAGCAAAAUAGCUCAGCAAGCUUGUACAGAGUGUUAGUUUAAUCACUAGUGUUUAUCUGUUAAUUGUUGCUUUUUCUAAGACAUUUUUAUUGUUUGCUGUACUCUAGAGGUGAAAAUAAAAUGCACUAUGUCAAAGGCA